rnacentral:rRNA from 1 species
UACGGAGGGUGCAAGCGUUAUCCGGAUUCACUGGGUUUAAAGGGUGCGUAGGUGGGCAGGUAAGUCAGUGGUGAAAUCUCCGGGCUUAACCCGGAAACUGCCGUUGAUACUAUUUGUCUUGAAUAUUGUGGAGGUAAGCGGAAUAUGUCAUGUAGCGGUGAAAUGCUUAGAUAUGACAUAGAACACCGAUUGCGAAGGCAGCUUACUACACAAUGAUUGACACUGAGGCACGAAAGCGUGGGGAGCAAACAGG